AGGGCAGAGAAAUGAAACAGUCAGAAACCUGAGGGGAAGUUUCUGAAAUUACCCCUGGUCUUUAUUUCUCUCUUUCUUUCACGUACGAGUUAGAGAAAAGAAAUCCAUCAUGGCUUCCGAACCUCGUAAAGUUGUGGUUCAUCUUCGAGCUACUGGGGACGCCCCAAUUCUCAAACAGGCGAAAUUCAAGAUUGAUGGGUCAGACAAAUUUGUCAAAGUAAUUGAUUUUUUGCGCCGCCAGCUUCACAGAGACACGUUGUUUGUAUAUGUCAACAGUGCCUUUUCACCUAAUCCAGAGGAGUUGAUAACUGACCUGUAUAACGUAAGUUGCUUCAACUCUGUUGUAAUGUUAUAUGAUCCCUUUGGAACUAUUUAUCUCUGUUUUAUUUUAACCGAAAUGCUUGCAAGGAAAAACCUUCUAUGAGUUGAGGUAAUUUCUAUCAGUCAUACCCUGUUGGAGUGAGUUGUAUUCAUUUCCAUCAAUAUUUUGUGCCCCAAAUAUGUGUUUUCUGGGCUCUUUUAGUUUUAGGCUUCUGCAAGUUCUUUAUGUGGGUUUUGGAUGAGCAUUUGAGGAUAUCAAGGAGAUGCCAUAUGAAAACACAAGAAUCUUCUUCUCGACGAUAUUGUUGACUAAGGUGUUUAUGAGUGCAGUGGUGUUCAAACCAAUUUUGCGGUCAUUUUAUCAAACUGAAGACACGGGCUCAAUAACCUCUUCUUCUGUUUGAAUGUACAUAUGCUGUUGUUUUAAUGUUAAGUUUGUUGCUUGAAUUGUGAUUUUGCAGAAUUUCGGUAUUGAUGGUAAACUGGUGGUGAAUUAUGCUUGCUCUAUGGCAUGGGGUUAACCAUCAUCUAUUAAUUGACAUUGUACAGCUAUACCCAAUUGAAAGAGUUGUAUACCUGUGAUUCUCCGACUUGAAGCGGGAGUAAUUUUGGACACUGUUGUCAGUUGUGGAGUUGUUUGAACUGGUACUCACAAGAGUGAAACAAUUUCGGCUACUAAUUGAUCCUUAGCAUGUUAUGUCAUGUCAACAGCAAGCAGAAUACAUCUUCAUGCUUCAACCUGAUUUUUCUCUGAUCAAGGCAGCUUCUUAUUGAUGUGAUUGGUUAGAUCAGCUGAUUGCUUAUUCUUUGGAGUAAAUUAUGCUAUAUGACCUGAUCUUUAUGUUUUGGAAAUUCUGUCCAAUGUCUAAUGCACCAAUGUUGACCUGUACCAUUAGUUGAUAAGUUGAUCCGCUUCAUAUCGCAAGUAUCUGCUGCAAGAAAUCCACAAGGGACCAUGAAGGAAUGACAGGUACAACUGUAUACAAAAGAAUGUAUGAACCGUCCUGCAUGACCAUUAAAGAACACUCACAAACUUCAAGAGCCAAAUAUGGUUUUGCAUCUCCAGAUGGCUCUUCUGAACUGUAGUCUGAUUCUAGACAUGGAUGGCAAAAAUCCUCCGAACAGAGCAUGCCUCAACAAAAGCCAUUAAUAUUAUCCUUUACCUUUUCCUUGCUACUA